rnacentral:rRNA from 1 species
AGAGUUUGAUCCUGGCGUCAGGAUGAACGCUGGCGGCGUGCUUAACACAUGCAAGUCGAACGGAUCGAUGGUAGAAGGGCCUCGGCCGGAAGCCAUGGUUAGUGGCGGACGGGUGAGUAACGCGUGGGUAACCUGCCUCACAUCGGGGGAUAACGAUUGGAAACGAUCGCUAAUACCGCAUAAGACCACGGUGCCGCAUGGCACAGGGGUAAAAACUCCGGUGAUGUGAGAUGGACCCGCGUCUGAUUAGCCAGUUGGCGGGGUAACGGCCCACCAAAGCGACGAUCAGUAGCCGACCUGAGAGGGUGAUCGGCCACAUUGGGACUGAGACACGGCCCAAACUCCUACGGGAGGCAGCAGUGGGGAAUAUUGCACAAUGGGGGAAACCCUGAUGCAGCGACGCCGCGUGAGUGAAGAAGUAUUUCGGUAUGUAAAGCUCUUUAAGCAGGAAAGAUGAUGACGGUACCUGCAGAAUAAGCACCGGCUAAAUACGUGCC